AGCAGACGACCAAUACAGGUCAAAGAGGACGAAAGAGACUGAUCCACCUGCAGUUUAUUCAUCAACAGCUGACGUCAGUUAUGGAGAAAUCACCGUCAGGACAAACAGCAGGCACAGAGAUCUUCCACCAGAGCCAGCCAUCAUCUACUCCUCACUGAAGCCGAGCCACACACCUUCACCACAGCUUAACUAGUGUGACCAGUGAAGUCUAGCUGGCUGCCGAACACAACCCUGCUCCCCUCUCUAUAUUAGUAUUUAUUUAAUCAUAUUCUCUGUGUGUUUAGUCAUACAGCUGCACUGAACCAAUGAUGAAGUGGAAAUAAAACAUUUUUUAUAUUAA